CCUACGGGAGACAGCAGUGGGGAAUAUUGCACAAUGGGCGAAAGCCUGAUGCAGCAACGCCGCGUGAAGGAAGAAGGGUUUCGGCUCGUAAACUUCUAUCAACAGGGACGAAAGAAAUGACGCUACCUGAAUAAGAAGCCCCGGCUAACUACGUGCCAGCAGCCGCGGUAAUACGGAGGGGGCAAGCGUUAUCCGGAAUUACUGGGUGUAAAGGGUGAGUAGGCGGCAUGGUAAGCCAGAUGUGAAAGCCUUGGGCUUAAACCGAGGAUUGCAUUUGGAACUAUCAAGCUAGAGUACAGGAGAGGAAAGCGGAAUGCCUAGGGUAGCGGGGAAAUGCGGAGAUAUUAGGAAGAACACCAGUGGCGAAGGCGGCUUUCUGGACUGAAACUGACGCUGAGGCACGAAAGCGUGGGGAGCGAACAGGAUUAGAUACCCCAGUAGUC
rnacentral:rRNA from 1 species